rnacentral:snRNA from 1 species
UGCUUUCUCUUCAGAUUGUAUAAAUCUUUCGCCUUUACUAAAGAUUUCUGUGGAGAGAAAAAUGUAA